GCGAGAAACAUUCCUGGUAUUUUAAAUUUAAUAAUUCCGAUCAUAUUGUGUUGAGUUUUUAGCUGUUUUCUAUUGUCACUGAUCAACUGGAAAUAUGUGACGAGAAUGAUAUGAUAUAAAUCCAUUAAGCCGUGAAUGUAAACCGUUUACUUACAUCCCAGAUCAGUAUCAAUUAGCCCACAUAGUUACAGACACGAAACAUUUAUUAUAUUCAACCCGGUACAUUUUAUUUUAACGUUUCGGCCUUGAAUGUAAACCGUUUAUUUGCAUCCCAGACCAAUAUCAAUUAGCCCGAAAUAUUUAUUAUAUUAAACCUGGUAAAUUGGUUAAAAUCGACAUUAUGCAUUUAGACCAAUUGAUGGUCGACAUAGGUGACUUUGGUUGGUACCAAAUAGCCAUCGUGGCCUGUUACCUGUUAACAAAGAUUCCUGUUGCCUUCACCAUGAUGGAAAUGGCUUUCACUGGGUUUAUUCCUGAUUGGUGGUGCGAUUCCACAACAUCAGAUCUCGUAGCCUAUGACAACAACGCGACAUCCUACUUAGUUAACAAUGGCAACAUCAGUGGUUUGAACCAAUGCUAUGGCUCCGGCAACGCAACAAAUUGUACACGAGUGUUUGAUUUGAGCAAACGAACCAUCGUGAAUGAGUGGGACCUAGUAUGCGAAAACAGAUGGAUAAGUUUUACAAUUACAACUGUUCAAAUGUCAGGCGCGUUAGUUGGAGCAACUGUUGUAAGUUAUACCGGAGACAGAUUCGGUAGACGCAGAACACUAUAUGUCAUACAGUUUCUCCAUAUCAUCUUCCUUGGUAUUUCUGCGGCGUCGCAGUCUUGGCGUGUAUUCGCAGCCAUGAGAUUUGGUAUCGGAUUUUCAGGUGGUGCCACGAUUGUUGUGAGUUUUCCGGCUUCCAUUGAGUUCGUUGGAAAGAAGUGGCGAGCGUUGCUAGGGGCAUAUCCAGUCUGGGCUGGAACAUCCCCAUUUCUACCACUGGUCACCUGGUUGUUCCCGAAUUGGCGCCAUUUUAAGAUCAUCGUCUGCAUUAUCGCUUUUCCUAUUUGUUUAGGUUUCUUUUUCGUACCAGAAAGUAUCCGAUGGUUAACGGUAAAAGGAAAAUUGGAGGACGCCGCGGCUGUAGCACGUAAUAUAGCCAGGAGAAACAAAAAACCGAUACCGAACACCGACAUCUUGGAACUGGUGGCCGAGGACGAACGGCGGAUUAACAAAACCUAUUCAACUUAUAGUCAUUUAGAUUUAUUUCGUAACAAACGAAUUUCUCUGAUAACUUUACGUGUUUGGUUCUCUUGGUUCGCCUCCUCUGUUUCUUACUGGUGUCUUAUCCUUGGAGUACAAAAUAUGUCGGGCAAUUUUUAUCUCAACUUUUUUCAAGUAUCUAUCGUGGAGAUUCCAGCAUCCUUUAUAGUUCUACUCGUUGUCAACAGGUGAGCCAGUAUUACGUUUAUUUGUCCUUUUUGUGACCGAAUUAAAAACGCCAGUUUUCAAAUAGUGAGGACUCAUUUUUGUGGAUUUUUUUUCCAUUUUUGUAACCUUAACCCUCUCUCACCGCAUAAAGAAUAACCCAGCACAUAGUCGAAAAGAUAUUCUUUUUUUGCAAUUUAAUCAUACCAUUUUUACGUGGCAGGGAAAAGUUUGUUGUGUGGCAAAAUGCGUGUGUUAAACUACCAUACAGUAAUCGACAUGGUCUCGUGUAGUCUGUUGGCGCACAUAACCAUGCUGUAACCGACCAUGUUCAUAUUUUCAAUAUCUGUAACUUCUCUGUUAUUUAGAAAACGUUUUGGAAGAAGAUGGUCUGUAGCCAUGUUUAAUAUAGGUGUAUCUGUGGGGGCAUUUUGUGCUAUUUUGACGUCUUUAAUCGCCCCACCAGAACACAAAGCUUAUUACGUCAGUAUCUGUGCAAUGGUAGCGAAUUUUUGUUCAACAUGUAGUUGGUCAUGUUUGUCUCCAUUUACUGCUGAAUUGUAUCCUACAGUUAUACGAAAUCUUGGUUACGGUAGUGCAGGAACUGUUACAAGGUUGGGGGGCAUCUUCGCCUCACAAGUUAUAUCAUUGGCUGUUAAAGGUGGUUAUGUCCCGUAUGUUAUUAUCUGUAUUCUUAUGACCAUAGACACGUGUUUUAUACUAACCUUACCGGAAACACGUGGUGAGGCGCUCGAAGAUACCCUUAAUACAGAGAAGACAUUUGACCACACAUUGUCAGAGGUUAACGAAAAAUUACAAACCAAGACAGAGCUUGAAAAACAUAAUGUCUAAAACAUCUAAAUGUUAGGACUUUUCACACUAUUUCAAUUUAGAUUGUAAAUCACCCACGUGACCUCGAUUCAUCCAAUCAAUUAAAUACGCAAACAUUUGAUCUAUUUUUAAACUAUUAUAACAAGAACUCCAGCUCUUUAAUUAAUACAUCUUUAAUACGGCAAUUUAUUCUGAAAAUAUGACAUAUAGAUAUACAGAUAAAAUAACUCAUCACUCAGGGGUUUUAAAAUGUGCUAUUUAUUGCCUUCCACACAGCGUUGAUUACCGUGUGGAUCAAGAGACUGUUUACGAGCACAGCAGUUAAAA